ACCAGACUCCUACGGGAGGCAGCAGUGGGGGAUAUUGGACAAUGGGGGAAACCCUGAUCCAGCGACGCCGCGUGAGUGAAGAAGUAUUUCGGUAUGUAAAGCUCUGUCAGCAGGGAAGAAAGAAAUGACGGUACCUGACCAAGAAGCCCCGGCUAACUACGUGCCAGCAGCCGCGGUAAUACGUAGGGGGCAAGCGUUAUCCGGAUUUACUGGGUGUAAAGGGAGCGUAGACGGCGAAGAAAGUCUGAAGUGAAAGCCCGCGGCUCAACCGCGGAAUGGCUUUGGAAACUUUUUUGCUGGAGUACCGGAGAGGUAAGCGGAAUUCCUAGUGUAGCGGUGAAAUGCGUAGAUAUUAGGAGGAACACCAGUGGCGAAGGCGGCUUACUGGACGGUAACUGACGUUGAGGCUCGAAAGCGUGGGAAGCAAACAGGAUUAGAUACCCCUGUA
rnacentral:rRNA from 1 species